UUUUACAGUCGGAUCCGUCAGUGGGGGUUUAAACUUUGGUCAGUGAUUGCACAGUGUUACUCGAGGACAUUAUGCUACAGUUAAUCACUUGACCGACUGAAAAGAGACUGUUAAGCAAGGGUAGCGAUGGAUGAUGUAUUACAAAGCAUUGCUGGGAAAAAGGAGACGCGUUCAAGAGAGGACACAAGCUCUAGCUUUUUUGAUUCUCAACAAGACCUGUUGUGGGAAUGAAGGUCCCCUGGGACCCAUGGACUGGGAAACUCCCAUCAUACUUCUUCAUAUCUCCUUUAUCUCCCGAUGAGCUCUGACUGCUUUCCAGAGACCCUCAGUUGACUGCCCUGCCACAGAUGGACCACUGCUAUCAGCUUACUCAUCCGCAUCUUACCUGCCUGCCCGCUCUCCUUCCUCUGCACCAUGUAGAAAUGGAAUCCCCGCUGUUUGACCUCCAGACCUGAAA